GGAGUUGGAAAAGGGAAUUGUGGGUAAGGGGGUGGAGUUAAGGCACUGUGUGGUGUUGUGAAUCAGAAUGGAGGAAGGGGGUGAAGUUAAAGCACUCUGGGGUGACUUGCUCUAAAAGAAAGAAGAACUCUUGAAGAGUGAACUGAACAGCUGUUGCCUGGCAGGGAGGUCAACCAUAAUAGACUGAAGGUCCUCUAAUUAUUAGAUGACUCUCUACUUGUCUAGACAGUCAAAAGCCAAAUUUAAGUCAAAGAAAAGCUCUCCAUCUUCCUUUGAUUUUAGGUGAGUUUUCCAAAAUUUUAUUCCUAUGAAUUCAUUCAUAAUCAAUUUUGCAUUUAACCUUAAACCAUAUUAGACUUAUCUAUAAACCUUUACUUAAGUUGAAUUGAAUGGCUUUGACCAUAAAUGUCCUUUUAAUAGAGACUACUUACACACCUAUCUCUAGUUUUUGAAUAACUGAACCAUUAAUCAAGUCAGAUAUAUACUAAAUUUUUUUUAAAAUAUUUAUUUUAUAAUACAAUCAUUCUUAUUU